GACGAACGCUGGCGGCGUGCUUAACACAUGCAAGUCGAACGGAAAGGCCCUGCUUUUGUGGGGUGCUCGAGUGGCGAACGGGUGAGUAACACGUGAGUAACCUGCCCUUGACUUUGGGAUAACUUCAGGAAACUGGGGCUAAUACCGGAUCGGAGCUCCUGCUGCAUGGUGGGGGUUGGAAAGUUUCGGCGGUUGGGGAUGGACUCGCGGCUUAUCAGCUUGUUGGUGGGGUAGUGGCUUACCAAGGCUUUGACGGGUAGCCGGCCUGAGAGGGUGACCGGCCACAUUGGGACUGAGAUACGGCCCAGACUCCUACGGGAGGCAGCAGUGGGGAAUAUUGCACAAUGGGCGGAGGCCUGAUGCAGCAACGCCGCGUGCGGGAUGACGGCCUUCGGGUUGUAAACCGCUUUCGCCUGUGACGAAGCGUGAGUGACGGUAAUGGGUAAAGAAGCACCGGCUAACUACGUG
rnacentral:rRNA from 1 species